AGAAUGCUAUAUUAGUUCGGCAUAGCUUUCACACACCUGUAUGACGUCCACUACCAUUUUCGGGUCCUUAGCGAUGAGCAUCUGAAAGGCAUCGUCAGAGACUCCUUUCAAGAUGUGCUUGAUCUUCU
rnacentral:lncRNA from 1 species